AGGGUGUAAACGCUGCAGACUUGGUGUUGGAGGCCCUUUGGGGGCAUUCAGUGCCGGAGAGAAGUUGUUAAGUCUGCUACUUGGGGAGUACGUCCGCAAGGAUGAAACUUAAAGGAAUUGGCGGGGGAGCACCGCAACGGGAGGAGCGUGCGGUUUAAUUGGAUUCAACACCGUAAAACUCACCAGGGAAGACUGUUACAUGAAAGCCGAGAUGAAGACUCUGCUAGAUUUUCAGAGAGGAGGUGCAUGGCGUCAGUGACU
rnacentral:rRNA from 1 species